rnacentral:snRNA from 1 species
GUGCUCACUUCGGCAGCACAUAUACUAAAAUUGGAAUGAUGCAGAGAUUAGAAUGGUCCCUGCACAAGGAUGAUAUGCAAAUAUCAUCAUGAAGCAGUCCGUAUUUUU